AUGUGGGAUUCUUCUUUGGAUAAGGUUAAGAGUCCUAAGUCCUUAGGUUUUUGAUCAGAUAUGUGGUGCCUUAUCUAUUUAAGGAGGGGACCUAACAACCGGUAGUAAUGCAAGAGUUUGUACGACAAAACAUAGAAGACUACCAUGUGGAAAAAUAAGGAGGAGUGGAUGCUGAUUUGUAAUUGGUGUGGAGUCCCUUUAGGCAUCCUUUCUUGGCAUGAAGGAUCCCCUUCCAAGGCAUAGUGAUUAGAUCACCUUCCUCUCUUGAUUCCCUUCUGAAGGUUUGGUGC
rnacentral:lncRNA from 1 species